CCUACGGGAGGCAGCAGUGGGGAAUAUUGGACAAUGGGGGCAACCCUGAUCCAGCCAUGCCGCGUGUGUGAAGAAGGCCCUCGGGUUGUAAAGCACUUUCAGUGAGGAAGAACGCCUGGUGGUUAAUACCCAUCAGGAAAGACAUCACUCACAGAAGAAGCACCGGCUAACUCCGUGCCAGCAGCCGCGGUAAUACGGAGGGUGCGAGCGUUAAUCGGAAUUACUGGGCGUAAAGCGCGCGUAGGUGGCUUGAUAAGCCGGUUGUGAAAGCCCCGGGCUCAACCUGGGAACGGCAUCCGGAACUGGCAAGCUAGAGUGCAGGAGAGGAAGGUAGAAUUCCCGGUGUAGCGGUGAAAUGCGUAGAGAUCGGGAGGAAUACCAGUGGCGAAGGCGGCCUUCUGGACUGACACUGACGCUGAGGUGCGAAAGCGUGGGUAGCAAACAGGAUUAGAUACCCUAGUAGUC
rnacentral:rRNA from 1 species